UUGAUAUGUUCCAUUCUAAUGUUCCAUGGGGGGAAACCACUAACGUUUCCCCGUGCAGUGGAAUUUCUGCUCCAUGAAAAUCACAGCUAGGAAAUGUUGAAACUCAUUUCUCCAUCCGUGCUUUCCAGUCGUGUCACCAACACAUGCUGGAAGGAGGCUUGGCGAGGCCAUCAAGCAGACACAGGGAUGAAGAGUUGCUACCAGAAAACUCAACUAUGUCUGUGAGCUCAGAAAGCACUACAGAUGGUCUCUGUUUUGGGAACUGUAACCUCAAGUGUAAUGUGUGCUAGCUGAUCUCGAGCAAUCUUAUUGCUUAUGGCUGUGAAUGAAGAACAACGUGCUUUCAAAUCCCACACAAACCACGGUGUGUACUAACUCUCAAGAGCCAUCUGCAAGAUCCAGAGCCUUGGACUUGGCAGUGGAGCCUCCUGUGAAUAACUGGUCCAAGCCAGGAGUGGAGAUGACUGACAAAUCAAAACAGGAAAGAGAAAUGGUUCCUUCUGCGAGGAAUUAGCAAGUAAGCCAAGGGCAAGCAAGCAGUUACAAAACAGAGACAAAUAUUCCCAGGAUUCAUUUUUGACUCUGUCCUAUUGAAGAUACAGAUUUUCUGGUCGUACUUUUAUGUUCCUAAUAUUUCUAUGAAAAACUGGCAUGAUUCUGACAUGUAUCCCGUACUCGUAUCCCUCAACUGGUGAUGAUAAACCUUCAAGAGCAGAAUGAAAUAGUGAUGACUGCUGUAACUGUUGCACAGCCAAGUGACACAGCUGUGAUGCUGCUGCUGAUGUUGGCUGUGAUGUAAUUAUCUGAUCCUUCAGCUCCCAUCUUCUUACAUAAAUGUAAAUGUGCCUUUCAGUAUCUUUUGGGUAAAAAGACUGUUUUAUUGCCUGUAUGCAAAAUGUUUUAUGAACAAAUAGAAAGGAUUCAUGUCA